rnacentral:rRNA from 1 species
UCGCCUACGGGACGCAGCAGUGAGGAAUAUUGGUCAAUGGGAGGAAUCCUGAACCAGCCAUGCCGCGUGCAGGACGACGGCUCUACGGGUUGUAAACUGCUUUUGUACCGGGGUAAAAUGCCUUACGAGUAGGGUUUUGAAAGUACGGUACGAAUAAGGAUCGGCUAGCUCCGUGCCAGCAGCCGCGGUAAUACGGAGGAUCCGAGCGUUAUCCGGAUUCAUUGGGUUUAAAGGGUGCGUAGGUUGUUUUAUAAGUUAGCGGUGAAAUACCGAUGCUCAACAUCGGGGCUGCCGCAGAUACUGUU